AAAGCUCACUCUUUUUCAUCAUCAACAACCAAACCUCACUCUUUUCUAUUAACAUUAGCCUUCACCACUCUUUAUCCUUCGGCCAUUGUCCACCUUCUCUCAACCUCCUUAACCCUAAAUCCAAACCAUCCUUCUAUGAUGUAGCUUAGGUUGUGGUGUUGUGUCAAGCCCUCACGGUUGGCGACACCAUUGUUCAACUAAUCCAGUCUAACUGCUGUGGUUUAAAGCUGAAAGGGUUUGUUUCCAUCGGCAUGGAAGCCAUAUGGUGUUUUUGGUUCGUGUCUCCUCUUUUGGUUCAUGUGGAUCCAUAUAGCCGUCCUCCCAUCAGUUGAUCUGUUUAACGAUGUUCAGAUCUCAAUGUGAUCAUUAUCGGUUUUAAGGUUUUAGAUUUGCUUACACUGCGCCAGUGGUUUUGGGGUUGGUUAGAUCUGGGUUAGAUGCCUCUGAUGUGUUUGACUACAUCCAUACACAAGUAUAUUGUUAACGAAUGUCAUAAUAUGCAUUGUUUGCAAAAUCAACAGGAUUGGAUUCUCAGCUGCAACUCUUUCUGCUGCUAACGCUGCUGCAAGAGAAGAACCGUUGGAUUGGGCUGCUAUCUCUGCUUUUUUUUUUUAAACUAAAAAAAUAAAUUGAUAAAAGGUUUUACAAACAUUUGUUAUGUUUAAGUUUAAGUACAUAUUUAA